ACGCACAGGGAUAUUA
rnacentral:rRNA from 1 species